rnacentral:rRNA from 1 species
CCUACGGGUCGCAGCAGUGGGGAAUAUUGCACAAUGGGCGCAAGCCUGAUGCAGCCAUGCCGCGUGUAUGAAGAAGGCCUUCGGGUUGUAAAGUACUUUCAGCGAGGAGGAAGGCAUUAAGGUUAAUAACCUUGGUGAUUGACGUUACUCGCAGAAGAAGCACCGGCUAACUCCGUGCCAGCAGCCGCGGCAAUACGGAGGGUGCAAGCGUUAAUCGGAAUUACUGGGCGUAAAGCGCACGCAGGCGGUCUGUCAAGUCGGAUGUGAAAUCCCCGGGGUCAACCUGGGAACUGCAUUCGAAACUGGCAGGCUAGAGUCUUGUAGAGGGGGCUAGAAUUCCAGGUGUAGCGGUGAAAUGCGUAGAGAUCUGGAGGAAUACCGGUGGCGAAGGCGGCCCCCUGGACAAUGACUGACGCUCAGGUGCGAAAGCGUGGGGAGCAAACAGGAUUAGAUACCCGAGUAGUC